UACCAGCUCUUCGAGUGGUGUGGAUGUUUAUUGGGCCUAGAGCAUCCGUAGCUGGCUGGGCAAGUCCCCUGUUAAAUCCACCGAUUUAAUCGUUGGAGUGCGGGGGAUACUGUUCGGCUAGGGGACGGGAGAGGCAGACGGUAUUUUCGGGGUAGGGGUGAAAUCCUAUAAUCCCGGGAAGACCACCAGUGGCGAAGGCUGUCUGCUAGAACGCGCCCGACGGUGAGGGAUGAAAGCUGGGGGGAGCGAACCGGAUUAGAUACCCGGGUAGUCCCAGCUGUAAACGAUGCAGGCUAGGUGUUUGGACGGCCACGUGCCGUUCUAGUGCCGCAGGGAAGCCGUUAAGCCUGCCGCCUGGGGAGUACGGCCGCAAGGCUGAAACUUAAAGGAUUGGCGGGGGAGCACCACAAGGGGUGAAGCUUGCGGUUU
rnacentral:rRNA from 1 species